rnacentral:SRP_RNA from 1 species
UGCCGGUCCCCUCGCAAUGAUAAGCUGUGAACCCCGCCAGGCCCGGAAGGGAGCAACGGUAAUAGCUGACUCAUGUGCCGUGGUGUGGCUGGCAGGA